ACAUUGUACUGAACAUUGAAAAAACAUUACCUCACUUCUUCCUCACGUGGACUCUAUGUGCCUUUGAGACAGUCACUGGGAUUCUCCUUCUUUUAUGGAAAAAGAAACCAAGCUUUCAUCAGGGUAUGUGAUUGACUUACAUGUCAUGCAUCUGCCAAGUUCUCAGGCUGGGACAGAGUUAUUGAUGCCAGAGCUCACGUCCUGAGGCUCCAUGCCUGUGGGAAGCAAGAGGAGGGAUGCCUGGGAAGGAAGGCUAGGCCCGGGCAGAACUGAGGCAUUUUGACUUCAUUUGUAUUAUUAGAUAAUGAAGAGAAGAGUCUGGGAUCACUGCGCAGGCUGCACUGAGAAGGAAAGAGACUGGAAGCAGGAGCCCGCUGGAAAUCACCAAAGUUGUUGGUGUGGGUCAACAGGGUGGUUUCAAUGGGAUCAGAAAUGUCUGGGAUUUCAUGACUUCUGGAUGGUCAAGAAGAUUCACAAAUAUUUUUGCAAGUGACAGCUUUGAAGCCCUGAGACAGGCGGAGGUUUCAGCAGGCCCCACACAACCCUGGCCUGGAGGAAACAGCCUGGCAAGCUUAAGCCUAAGCGGGCGCCAGCAGAGCCACCCAGGUGUCGCUGCCGAAGGGAGCCCAGGAAAGGAUGGGAGCAGAGAGAAGGAAGCCCUGAGCCAGUCUCAGAAAGUGCUCAGGGAAAAUCUUCUGGAGAUGGC
rnacentral:lncRNA from 1 species